rnacentral:rRNA from 2 species
CAUGCAAGUCGAGCGGACAGAAGGGAGCUUGCUCCCGGACGUUAGCGGCGGACGGGUGAGUAACACGUGGGCAACCUGCCCCUUAGACUGGGAUAACUCCGGGAAACCGGAGCUAAUACCGGAUAAUCCCUUUCUCCACCUGGAGAGAGGGUGAAAGAUGGCUUCGGCUAUCACUAAGGGAUGGGCCCGCGGCGCAUUAGCUAGUUGGUAAGGUAACGGCUUACCAAGGCAACGAUGCGUAGCCGACCUGAGAGGGUGAUCGGCCACACUGGGACUGAGACACGGCCCAGACUCCUACGGGAGGCAGCAGUAGGGAAUCUUCCGCAAUGGACGAAAGUCUGACGGAGCAACGCCGCGUGAGUGAGGAAGGCCUUCGGGUCGUAAAGCUCUGUUGUGAGGGAAGAAGCGGUACCGUUCGAAUAGGGCGGUACCUUGACGGUACCUCACCAGAAAGCCACGGCUAACUACGUGCCACCAGCCGCGGUAAUACGUAGGUGGCAAGCGUUGUCCGGAAUUAUUGGGCGUAAAGCGCGCGCAGGCGGCUUCUUAAGUCUGAUGUGAAAUCUCGGGGCUCAACCCCGAGCGGCCAUUGGAAACUGGGGAGCUUGAGUGCAGAAGAGGAGAGUGGAAUUCCACGUGUAGCGGUGAAAUGCGUAGAGAUGUGGAGGAACACCAGUGGCGAAAGCGACUCUCUGGUCUGUAACUGACACUGAGGCGCGAAAGCGUGUGGAGCAAACAGGAUUAGAUACCCUGGGAGU